AUUGAACGCUGGCGGCAGGCUUAACACAUGCAAGUCGAACGGUAACAGGAAGAAAGCUUGCUUUCUUUGCUGACGAGUGGCGGACGGGUGAGUAAUGCUUGGGAAUCUGCCUUAUGGAGGGGGAUAACUACGGGAAACUGUAGCUAAUACCGCGUAAUAUCUACGGAUUAAAGUAUGGGAUCUUCGGACCAUAUGCCAUAAGAUGAGCCCAAGUGAGAUUAGGUAGUUGGUGAGGUAAAGGCUCACCAAGCUGACGAUCUCUAGCUGGUUUGAGAGGAUGACCAGCCACACUGGAACUGAGACACGGUCCAGACUCCUACGGGAGGCAGCAGUGGGGAAUAUUGCACAAUGGGCGCAAGCCUGAUGCAGCCAUGCCGCGUGAAUGAAGAAGGCUUUCGGGUUGUAAAGUUCUUUCAGCGAUGAGGAAGGUGCAUUAUCUAAUAGGUGAUGUAAUUGACGUUAGUCGCAGAAGAAGCACCGGCUAACUCCGUGCCAGCAGCCGCGGUAAUACGGAGGGUGCGAGCGUUAAUCGGAAUAACUGGGCGUAAAGGGCACGCAGGCGGUUGUCUAAGUCAGAUGUGAAAGCCCCGAGCUUAACUUGGGAAUUGCAUUUGAGACUGGGCGACUAGAGUCCUCUAGGGAGGGGUAGAAUUCCACGUGUAGCGGUGAAAUGCGUAGAGAUGUGGAGGAAUACCGAAGGCGAAGGCAGCCCCUUGGAGAGAGACUGACGCUGAGGUGCGAAAGCGUGGGUAGCAAACAGG
rnacentral:rRNA from 1 species